AAAGUUGGAUAUGGGUGGUUAAACAUUUCCAGCAGGACGAGGGAGGAUUUUACCCUCACACGAUAUGACCAUCAUCCAAUCGGUUUCAUAUCGUGACCGUAGUU
rfam:Marine metagenome HOTS_Contig39662, whole genome shotgun sequence.